rnacentral:tRNA from 1 species
UAUGUGCCCGAAAACUAAGGUUCACCUUGAUAGGGUGAUAUAUAGAGGCUAAAAUCCUCUCAUUUCCUAAA